UCGGGUGGUCGCUGUCGGGCGCUGAGCCCGGCAGAGGAAAGUCCGGACAUCACAAGGCAGCGCGUCCCGUGAAAGCGGGAGACGCCCGGCUUCAAGGCCGGGUGGACGGAAAGUGCCACAGAAAACAAACCGCCCGCAAGGGUAAGGGUGAAAAGGUGGGGUAAGAGCCCACCGCUCCUGAGGCAACGAGGGAGGCACGGCAAACCCCGCGCGAUGCAAGACAAACAGGGGAAGGGUCGCCUGCCCGCUCAUCCCCGGGUAAUAGUUGCACCCCGCCUCGGCGGGGCACGCCCGGCUCUCCGCGAGCCGAGCGCGAGAAAAAUGGCCACACAGCCCGCAAGGGUGGACAGAAUCUGGCUUACAGA
rnacentral:RNase_P_RNA from 1 species